rnacentral:rRNA from 1 species
AACGAACGCUGGCGGCGUGUUUAAGACAUGCAAGUCGCACGGUGUCAUUUUGGUAGCAAUACUUGAAUGGCACAGUGGCGCACGGGUGAGUAACACGUGAAUGACAUGCCCUUCAGAGGGGGAUAGCACAGGGAAACUUGGAUUAAUACCCCAUGGUCUCGCAAGAGUAAAGGUGGCCGCAAGGCUGUCGCUGGAGGAUUGGUUCGCGUUCUAUCAGCUUGUUGGCGGGGUAACGGCCCACCAAGGCCACGACGGAUACCUGGUCUGAGAGGACGAUCAGGCACACUGGAACUGAGACACGGUCCAGACACCUACGGGUGGCAGCAGUCGAGAAUAAUUCACAAUGGGGGCAACCCUGAUGGUGCAACGCCGCGUGGAGGAUGAAGGUCUUCGGAUUGUAAACUCCUGUCAUCCGGGAGCAAGACCUGACGGUGAAUAGCCGGCAGGGUUGAUAGUACCGGAAGAGGAAGGGACGGCUAACUUCGUGCCAGCCGCCGCCGUAAAAC